rnacentral:rRNA from 1 species
CUAACAAGGAUUUUCUUAGUAGCGGCGAGCGAAAAGAAAACAGUUCAGCACUAAGUCACUUUAUCUUUAUGGUAAAUGUGAGAUGCAGUGUAUGGAACGUCUAUAAUCUAAUAAUAUUAAUUAACGAUUUAAGUUUCUCUCAAAAGAGGCCAUUUACCCAUAGAGGGUGCCAGGCCCGUAUAACGUUAAUGAUUAUUAGAAGAUGUUUCCAAAGAGUCGUGUUGCUUGAUAGUGCAGCACUAAGUGGGUGGUAAACUCCAUCUAAAACUAAAUAUAACCAUGAGACCGAUAGUAAACAAGUACCGUGAGGGAAAGUUGAAAAGAACUCUGAAUAGAGAGUUAAAUAGUACGUGAAACUGCUUAGAGGUUAAGCCCGAUGAACCUGAAUAUUCAUUAUGGAAAAUUCAACAUAUGCCUGUGGUAUAUAAAAAAUACUAUAGAAAUAUUGUGCAUUUUUUCCAUAUAAGAACAUUGUAAUCUAUUAACAUAAUAUAUAUUUAUCAUAAGAUCAUUAGCUUAAGUUUAUUCAAAUUAAAUUGCUUGCAAUUUAACAUAGAAUAAAUGCUUAUGAUUUGAUAAAGUGUUGAUAGAUUUAUCAAAUUAGUGCUUAAAUUCAUAUAGAAUUUUAUAAUUGCAUGAAUAAUCUUUUUAAGAUUUUUAUGUAUAUUAUUUGCGCUUAAUUGAUUAACAAUGCGAUAGAUUCAGGAUACCUUCGGGACCCGUCUUGAAACACGGACCAAGGAGUCUAACAUAUGUGCAAGUCAUUGGGAUUAUUUAAUAUAAACCCAAAGGCGAAAUUAACUUAACUUAACUAAAAUGGGAUUAGUUUUUAGUCUAUUUUAUAGUCUAUUAAUUCAAUCCCGGGGCGUUCUAUAUAGUUAUGUAUAAUAGUAUUUAUAUUAUUUAUACCUCUAACUGGAGCGUACCUUGAGCAUAUAUGCUGUGACCCGAAAGAUGGUGAACUAUACUUGAUCAGGUUGAAGUCAGGGGAAACCCUGAUGGAAGACCGAAACAGUUCUGACGUGCAAAUCGAUUGUCAGAAUUGAGUAUAG